rnacentral:rRNA from 1 species
GACGAACGCUGGCGGCGUGCUUAACACAUGCAAGUCGAACGGUGACCCAGAGCUUGCUCUGGGGAUCAGUGGCGAACGGGUGAGUAACACGUGGGCAACCUGCCCCAGACUCUGGGAUAACCCCGGGAAACCGGAGCUAAUACCGGAUAUGACCACUUCGGACAUCCGAUGGUGGUGGAAAGUUUUUCGGUCUGGGAUGGGCCCGCGGCCUAUCAGCUAGUUGGUGGGGUAAUGGCCUACCAAGGCGACGACGGGUAGCCGGCCUGAGAGGGCGACCGGCCACACUGGAACUGAGACACGGUCCAGACUCCUACGGGAGGCAGCAGUGGGGAAUUUUGGACAAUGGGCGCAAGCCUGAUCCAGCCAUGCCGCGUGAGUGAAGAAGGCC